rnacentral:rRNA from 1 species
UACGUAGGGUGCAAGCGUUAAUCGGAAUUACUGGGCGUAAAGCGUGCGCAGGCGGUUAUAUAAGUCAGAUGUGAAAUCCCUGGGCUCAACCUAGGAACUGCAUUUGAGACUGUAUAGCUAGAGUGUGUCAGAGGGGGGUAGAAUUCCACGUGUAGCAGUGAAAUGCGUAGAGAUGUGGAGGAAUACCGAUGGCGAAGGCAGCCCCCUGGGAUAACACUGACGCUCAUGCACGAAAGCGUGGGGAGCAAACAGG